rnacentral:lncRNA from 1 species
CGUUGGGCAGAAAAUAAAAAUAAUGCAGUAUAACUGAUGAGGUAAACAAUUAUAAUAUUGAUAUCAUCAACGUUGGUUAGAAAAUAACAAUAUUAUAAAAUUUUCUAAAAGUGUUAAUUUUGCCCGAAAUUAAAUUCGCCCGUUGGUUUGAAUUUAAUUUAGGAGCAACUAAAAUUACUAAGCAGCGGAAAACGUGAAAUAAAGUGUACUAAUAAUUUCCAGAAAUGUAUCUAAUAUUUUCUGAAAAAUUUAUCACGUUGGAUCAAAAUUUAACAGAAAUUUAAACUAAUACUGAAACUAAUAAAAAAAUAAUACUAAAACAGUUUCUGGAAAAAAGAAAAAACGAAUUACUGGGCUAAUUGGUCUAAUGAAACAAAAUAGCUCCUGAAACGGCCCAGCAGGCUAAAAAUUGCCGGCUACGGCUGAUCUUAGUGGGCCGGCACGUAGGUGUUUUUUUUUUGCUAAUUCAGCUUUUUGAAAAAUGGAAAAACAUUUCCAUGGCCAAACCGGCCAAGGGGAGAAUCACCUACCUUGCCGGCCUUCUUAGCCCGCCGGCAGCGGCUUUGAUACCAUUGAUAGAACUAAUAAAACAUAACCGGAUCUACUAACCAGGGAAUUAGUCGGGCAUAUUCUAAUACAAGUAAAUAAUGGAGUGUUUCGAGAACCUAAUACAAGAUCUAGGUGCACAUAACGUAGAGGAGGUUAGGGUAAAACACAGACCAUCCGUAUUGGGACCAGAAGGGCCGGGAUCCGCCAUCAGUGGCGGGCGUAGUCGUACGGUGCCGCCUUUCGCCGGAGGUGUUGAAGAAGGCGACGGGUCGUAGCGCGGCGGCGGUCGAACUUCCCGUCACUGCCUGCGACCCUC